rnacentral:rRNA from 1 species
GACGAACGCUGGCGGCGUGCUUAACACAUGCAAGUCGAACGGAAAGGCCCUGCUUUUGUGGGGUGCUCGAGUGGCGAACGGGUGAGUAACACGUGAGUAACCUGCCCUUGACUUUGGGAUAACUUCAGGAAACUGGGGCUAAUACCGGAUAGGAGCUCCUGCUGCAUGGUGGGGGUUGGAAAGUUUCGGCGGUUGGGGAUGGACUCGCGGCUUAUCAGCUUGUUGGUGGGGUAGUGGCUUACCAAGGCUUUGACGGGUAGCCGGCCUGAGAGGGUGACCGGCCACAUUGGGACUGAGAUACGGCGCAGACUCCUACGGGAGGCAGCAGUGGGGAAUAUUGCACAAUGGGCGGAAGCCUGAUGCAGCAACGCCGCGUGCGGGAUGACGGCCUUCGGGUUGUAAACCGCUUUCGCCUGUGACGAAGAGUGAGUGACGGUAAUGGGUAAAGAAGCACCGGCUAACUACGUG